rnacentral:lncRNA from 1 species
CCGGUGCCUCGAAAGAGGGAAGUUUAUGGGCGCGCGCUACCCUGAUCAGGUAGGCGAACAUAAGCCUUGUGUGCCCGUUGUUGUUGUAAGGAUGCUUGUCCCCGUUUGGGACCGUUUAUGUUUUGCCACGAUGGUGGCCGGCCACGUAGGCGGCGGAUGUCACGAGUUGACAUCAGGGCCACCCAGGACUUAGCCCAAAGGGGAGUUUGUCAGAGUGGCUGGGAGGGUGUGAUGGCAAUAGAUCGGUUUUGUCGGAAUGUUGUUGGUCCACCCGAAUGGGAGUGCGAGGCCAUGGAUUCCGUGGUGUGGGUACAGUGUACUAACCUCUGUAGAGUGUGUGUGUAAACCUAUCGAUAGCCGCGCCCGCGGAUAUGGGCCCAGUUCGUAGUUGGUCACACUAUGAGCCAACUCUAAUAAUAACUUGAUUAAUAAUAAUCCCGGUUCGAUGAUGAGAAAGAGAUUGGUUGUGAUCGAGAGAGGAUCAUGGAGGUAUCAUGGAUACCGAAGUUGGUUGGUUGAUAUUUAUGUGAUCGCGAGAUGAUCACGGUGGUAUCAUAGAUACCGAAGUUGGUUGAUAUUUAUGUGAUCGCGAGAUGAUCAUGGAGGUAUCAUGGAUACCGAUGUUGGUAAGUUGAUGCAUGAGAUGGUUACGAGGUACCACCGAAGAAGAGUAAAUUGGUGCAUGAUAUGGUUUACCUAUUGAAUGUAGUACCAUCAUGUUCAUAUGCUCAUGGCAUGCUAAUGUUGUUUUAGAUUUAUCAUGUUCAGUUUGUGUAUGCCAUGAAUCAUGUUCAUGAUUGCUUUAACCUUCUAAUGCCAUGUUGUUUUUUUGUCUUGACUGGUUUUGGUUAAUUGUGAGCUUGCAAGUACAUUCAAUGUACUAACCUAGCGUGCCAUGCCAGUUUGCAGGUCGUGCCUGGAUUGCUUGCUUGUUUGGUGUGGUUCCUGUGUUCGCGAGCUAGGAUAAACAUUCCAACCAGAGUCCCCGCGGAUUGGAGUCCAUCAUUGUCGUUCGUUGUUCCGCUGACAGUAGAGGUUCCGCUGCCCCCAAUUGUUAUGUUGCUUGCAUAGAGCAACUAUGGUUGGCAUAGCGUCGCCGUGCUGGUGUUAUUCAUUGUAAUAUUGGAGACCUUGUAUUCAUAUUCGUGUUGUAAUAGAGAGUUGGUUUUUUCUAUGCUAAGCAGUGCCGUAUUCUGGAAGACUUCACCUUGAUCUCUAGGAUGGAAUACAGGGCGUUCCGGUUUCUCUGAGCCGGGGUGAGGGAGUCCUGGAUUAGGGGGUCCCCGGGCGUCCGGGCUAUGUGACAUGGGCUGGACUGGUGGGACGUGAAGAAACAAGAAAGAAGGCUUCCCCCGUGUCCGGAU